UCUCUACACGAAAGCAGUCCACAGCCUGCAGAAGCCAGGGGUUUACAAGCCACAGGAGAUGGUUUGCAUGGGUCUCACUGUCUCCAGCCAAGAGAAGUCCAGGCUGCUCUUCUGGUCGAACAUGCGGAACUCCAUCUCCCCUGGACAGAGCAACAGCAGAGUGAGAACUGAACCCCGGCAGCAGGAGCACGGGAGCCCCUGCGUACCAACACACCCAGAAAUGAAACGUUCCUCGGAGUUUCUUUCCUGAAAACCCUCGCCUGCACCUUCCACCCCGGACCGUAAGCGAUAACCAAGGUUUUGUACCCGAAGAGGUGUCGAUCUCGCCGUCCUGGUCCUUGUAGCUGUAUGUGCUGCACAUGGUCUGCGUGCCCGGCUCGUUGGUGAGGAAGCCUUUCCCCCCGACGCUGGUCGUGUGCCAGUCCUGUCCUGGUUCGAGCAGCU